GAUGAACGCUGGCGGCGUGCUUAACACAUGCCAGUCGAACGGAAAGGCCCAAGCUUGCUUGGGUACUCGAGUGGCGAACGGGUGAGUAACACGUGGGUGAUCUGCCCUGCACUUCGGGAUAAGCCUGGGAAACUGGGUCUAAUACCGGAUAGGACGAUGGUUUGGAUGCCAUUGUGGAAAGUUUUUUCGGUGUGGGAUGAGCUCGCGGCCUAUCAGCUUGUUGGUGGGGUAAUGGCCUACCAAGGCGUCGACGGGUAGCCGUCCUGAGAGGGUGUACGGCCACAUUGGAACUGAGAUACGGCCCAGACUCCUACGGGAGGCAGCAGUGGGGAAUAUUGCACAAUGGGAGCAAGCCUGAUGCAGCGACGCCGCGUGGGGGAUGAAGGCCUUCGGGUUGUAAACUCCUGUCGCUAGGGACGAAGCGUUUUUGUGACGGUACCUGGAGAAGAAGCACCGGCUAACUACGUG
rnacentral:rRNA from 1 species